UCUGGCUAACGUUAGCCGGACUGCUAGCUAACCACCCGGCGUCGUCUCAAACACAACUGACAGAUGUGCACAAGUUUAGUUUCGCGACGUUACAAGCUAAGCGUUAUCAAUUUUACGGUUCAAAUCGUUUUGACAGCUGCGGAUGCGGAACUCACCCUCUCUGCCGGACAGGGACAGACAGAGACGGUUUAGAACAAAUAGUAAACUACAAAGGAUCUUUGGGACAGGUUUUCAGGACAACUGCAUGGCAACGGGACGCUUCUGAAGAAACACUGCUCUCUGAUUGGUCCGCUGUGAAGCGUGCGAAAACCCAGUGAAACUCCGCGCGAGAUCCAAAGGACUGGCGCGAGAAAGACAGGAUCAUGGAGCCAACACCGACCAAGACAAUUAUUAUACACCUGCCUGGCACUGCUUAAAAACUAGAGACUGAAAGUGAUGACCACUCCAGAAGAGGACCUGUUCAGAGUACCAACCGAAGAAAACUCUAAACCCUGAAACAAGUCCUUCCUAAAAAGAACA